CCUGAGAGACGGACAGAGAGACAGAGAUAGAGAAUGCGUAAGACAGUUCUACAGUCAUAUGAAAGAGACAUCUAUGUCUUCUUGCACCUCUGCCUUUGUAAAGAACAAUAUCACAUUGAAGACAGCAGAGUAAGGACAUGUUUGGACACAAACUGAAGACACUUUGGAAACUGGGAAACUUUUUUUGAAAAUUAGGGACAUGUUUGAAAAGUCAAGAUAUUUCUGGAAAAUAAGGACAUUUUGGAAGCAAACGUCAGCCGGUGGACGUCUUUAGCUGCAUCUGGGAGGAACAGGAGAUUAUAGAUAAAGAAGAAGAACCUGGCGGUCCAUUGUCAUCUGUCAUACCACAUCGGCUGACUACAAGAAUAAAGACAGAUGCGGUGCGGAUGCAGUUCUUUAAAUGAAGGUUAGCUCAGUGUACUCUGCCACUUUUUGUACAUAUCAGUAAAAACCACUUAUACAAUAAGCAGCAGACUGCCAUAUUUUAUUAUUGCUUAUUAUUGAUGUCUGAGUUUCGGACAGCAUCUGAUCUGUGAUGUUUUCUGUUGAACCUGUGAUGAGUUCAACACACCACCGGGAGAGUUUGAACCGCUGAGCCCGGAGGGUGUGGCAGGUCUGUUCAGUCGUGCAGGCUGUGUCUCUGGCAGAUGUAGCGCAAUCUGGUGGAGCAGUGCAGGUCAUUGAGGCGUCCGUCGGCGUGUAGGUGAGCGCAGUCUUCGUCUCCGGGGCCGAGGCCGUGAUCGGUCCAGCUGUCAGGCUGACCGGGCGCCCAGCGACUGGAGACCACACAACAGAAACUCUAAAUGACUAUCACACAGAAGGUAUACCUCCUCUCUAUGGUGUACGGAGUUUGGUUCACCCACUCCCACUUCCCAGUUCUCCCAUCGCUCAGA